rnacentral:rRNA from 1 species
UACGUAGGGGGCAAGCGUUGUCCGGAAUUAUUGGGCGUAAAGAGCGUGUAGGCGGUCCGGUAAGUCAGCUGUGAAAAUCCAGGGCUCAACCCUGGACCUGCAGUGGGUACGGGCAGACUAGAGUGCGGUAGGGGAGAUCGGAAUUCCUGGUGUAGCGGUGAAAUGCGCAGAUAUCAGGAGGAACACCGGUGGCGAAGGCGGCUCACUGGCCCGUUACCGACGCUCAGGCGCGACAGCGUGGGGAGCAAACAGG